UCAUAAAUUUUCUUGAAAAAACCAUAUAUAUGUACCACAAUUUUUACAAAUUAAUGUGAUGUUGCUUUGACAAUAAACACAAUUAUUUCAAAAUUUUUAUCAAAUGUUUUUUAAACGUUCAAGGCCCUCAUGAAUUUCAGUUUGCAACCCCUUUCCUCACCCUUAUUCCCUCCAAGCCAUAUCACCACACACAAAAAAAAUAAACAGCCCAUUUGUUCAAAACCCCUAACCCCAGCCCAGUAGCCUACAUUCCCCUCAUCACCAAACCCGUGUCACCCCCUUUGUUUUUUUUUUCAUUUCAAAAUUUCGGGCAAGAAAACCCUCUUCUUCCCUCACCUUCUCCCUCCUUUUCUUUCUCUUUCUCUUUCUCUUUCUCCAACCCUAACAAUGGUGAAAAUUAAGACCACCAAGAAGUGCCGCCUCUCCUCUGCAGCAUAAGGAGGCGUGUGUUGGGUGCCUCAAAAUGCAGGAGGAACUUGCCUAUAUGAACAAACUGCUUCAGCAGCUUCUUGCUCGGCAACGCGCUCAGGAUCGGUUGGCGAGACAGCGGCAUCGGGAACUCAUGUCCGCCCUUUCCAAUUCCAAUGCUCCUUAACCCUCCUGUAUACUGAUCUUUGAUGUUGGGUUAUGUUUUUUUUUUUUGUUGAUGUUGUAUGGUUGCAUUUUGGUACUUUGUGAAGAUUGUGAAUUGGUGGAUCACUGUAGCACCAGCAUCACUAGUCUCUCACUGUUUGAGGCUUUGAGCUACUAAAACAUUUGGUUUCUAGCUCUCAUUUUGUGUAGCUUUGGUACUCUUUGUCAAUUUUUGUAUGGUGAUUAUUGGUGCUUGUUGGAUUAUGCUAUGAGUGAAGUUAUAUGUUAUUUUCCUAA